rnacentral:rRNA from 1 species
GACGAACGCUGGCGGCGUGCUUAACACAUGCAAGUCGAACGGAAAGGCCCUGCUUUUGUGGGGUGCUCGAGUGGCGAACGGGUGAGUAACACGUGAGUAACCUGCCCUUGACUUUGGGAUAACUUCAGGAAACUGGGGCUAAUACCGGAUAGGAGCUCCUGCUGCAUGGUGGGGGUUGGAAAGUUUCGGCGGUUGGGGAUGGACUCGCGGCUUAUCAGCUUGUUGGUGGGGUAGUGGCUUACCAAGGCUUUGACGGGUAGCCGGCCUGAGAGGGUGACCGGCCAAAUUGGAAUGGGGAAACGGCCCGAACUCUUAGGGGAGGCAGAGGUGGGAAUAUUGCACAAUGGGCGGAAGCCUGAUGCAGCAACGCCGCGUGCGGGAUGACGGCCUUCGGGUUGUAAACCGCUUUCGCCUGUGACGAAGCGUGAGUGACGGUAAUGGGUAAAGAAGCACCGGCUAACUACGUG